rnacentral:rRNA from 1 species
AGAACGAACGCUGGCGGCAUGCCUAAUACAUGCAAGUCGAACGAACACUUCGGUGUUAGUGGCGCACGGGUGCGUAACGCGUGGGAAUCUGCCCUUGGGUUCGGAAUAACAGUUGGAAACGACUGCUAAUACCGGAUGAUGACGAAAGUCCAAAGAUUUAUCGCCCAGGGACGAGCCCGCGUAGGAUUAGCUAGUUGGUGAGGUAAAGGCUCACCAAGGCGACGAUCCUUAGCUGGUCUGAGAGGAUGAUCAGCCACACUGGGACUGAGACACGGCCCAGACUCCUACGGGAGGCAGCAGUAGGGAAUAUUGGACAAGUGGGCGCAAGCCUGAUCCAGCAAUGCCGCGUGAGUGAUGAAGGCCUUAGGUUGUAAAGCUCUUUACCGAGAUGAUAAUGACAGUAUCGGAAGAAUAAGCCCCGGCUAACUCCGUGCCAGCAAGCCGAC